CCUCCACGGGCUCCUCGCCUCUCGGAGCGAUCUGUCGUAAGGAAGAGUAGCAAAAAAAGAAUUUUUCAGCUGGCAGUUUAUGAAGAGCACGAUGAGUGUCACAGUCAAGAGCAGAAAGAAAAACAGAAUGAUAAGCUCCAGCGCAGCGUCACUUGCCACCGUGGGAGAAGCGCGUGGUGGUGCCGACCAGCUCCGUGGUGCAUCUGGCAGUGACACGAUGCUAAAAAGGAAGAGAUCUUCUGAUAAACCCCCCCGGAUCAUCCCCCUGAGCUCUCAGAGAUGUCCCUGGAGGUGGAUGGGACAGUCCCACCGAUGGGACAGUCACCUCACUGCUGGGAGAGGACAAACAGGCUGUUUGCUCUGCCAGGUCCUUCAGCCAAGCUCCCACCAAACACGAUGCAAAUUGGGAACCGCUCAGGGUUCAGCCUCUCUGUGAAAGGCUGGAGCCUUUCCCCAGUUCCAGACUGGUAAAUAAUGCAUGAUCUCUCUCUUUCUCAUACGCUUACGCAACCCCUACCACGAUAAAUAUCAACCCAGGGAAAUGAAAGUGGAAAGAAACAUUAUCUUUCUCAGUAAUGCAACCAUUUACAAUCUGCGUUACGAUCCUUCUGCUCUCGGGAGUGAGCGGCAGGCAGGGGGAUGUUUCUAUUAGCAGACCAGAAUGCAACAAAUCACAGGCUGUAACUUUCCACUCCUGCAUAAAAGCAGCCUUAAAACCAUAUAAAGGAAAUAAUAAAAAAAAAAAUACAGAGAUGAUUUCCUUUUUUAAUCACUCCAAAGAAAACACUUAUUUCCAGGUGCCUGAGAAUCGGGUAUUAAGGACUAUAUUUUCAAAUGCAGGGCCAUAAAACUAAGCACUAGACACCUAAUCUGUGGAUCUUGCCUUUGGUGAUUAAAUAGGGGGCUGGAUGCCUGAGGAAAUUGGCCCAAGUGAAAAGGCAUCUUGAAAAUAUUUUGCUUCAAAAGAGCUUGUGUGUGCUAUUUAAAACUAACUUCUAACAUGAGGUUUCGCAGGGUAUGUUCGCACCAGCUGAAACAGAAGCAUUUAGAAAGUUUCCAGAGAAGUCUGUGAAAAAGGAAGCUUGAGUGCAUUUUAUCAGGGCUGCGUCUGGAUCCUUUCUUCUUCUCUGAGUGUGAGGAGCUUCAUGAUUCAUCAAGGCGAGCUCCAUCGACGGAUGGGGAAUAAGCACCCUGCACCUCCUGCCAUCCAGAUAGAAACCUUCUGUAAAACACAUGGAGCACCUCUGGAAGUGGGUGGCCUGCCCACAGCAAGGGAUGGUCAAUCCUCAGCAGAGCCAAGGUUUCCAUCAGCUGAACUCUUGUCUCCCAAACUGAAGUCAUCCGUCGGAUGGCAGAACAAAAGGGAGGAAGAGGAAAGCCCAGUUGCCAGGCAGAGAUGGGAAAAGAGAUCUGUGAGCAGAAAUCCUGGCUGGAAACAUCUGUGGAAGGGAAAACACUCAUCAUCUUGGGUCUCCAGUUAAUGUGGCUUAACCUUGUAAGUCCUCUUCACUCUCUUCAUUAAUUCUGAUGGCUUGGUGUCUUUGGCUCUUGUUGUCUAGGAGUGUAAUUAUCAUUAGUAAAGGUAAGGUAGCUGCCCGUGGUUGCCAAAUGGGAUGGGACUGCACCAUUCUGGAGCAGCCCUCACUUCAGGAAGCUGUGGAGAGGUGUUCCAUCGUAGGGUGGUGGCUCCUCUCUGGGGAUGCAAGCACCUGGUGGCCACCAGCCACCACCCAGGGAAGCUGUAAAAAAUGCCCUCAGCAAAGAUGGUCUAAAACUUAUGCUUCUGGAAUACACUUAGAAAGAAAAUCUAUCAGCAUGCGACAGGGGUUAUUUUAAUAAUCU